rnacentral:rRNA from 1 species
AAAAGGUGGCUAUGCUACCGCUUUUGGAUGGGCCCGCGGCGCAUUAGCUAGUUGGUGGGGUAAAGGCUUACCAAGGCAAUGAUGCGUAGCCGAACUGAGAGGUUGAUCGGCCACAUUGGGACUGAGACACGGCCCAAACUCCUACGGGAGGCAGCAGUAGGGAAUCUUCCACAAUGGGCGAAAGCCUGAUGGAGCAACGCCGCGUGGGUGAAGAAGGUCUUCGGAUCGUAAAACCCUGUUGUUAGAGAAGAAAGUGCGUGAGAGUAACUGUUCACGUUUCGACGGUAUCUAACCAGAAAGCCACGGCUAACUACGUGCCAGCAGCCGCGGUAAUACGUAGGUGGCAAGCGUUAUCCGGAUUUAUCGGGCGUAAAGGGAACGCAGGCGGUCUUUUAAGUCUGAUGUGAAAGCCUUCGGCUUAACCGGAGUAGUGCAUUGGAAACUGGGAGACUUGAGUGCAGAAGAGGAGAGUGGAACUCCAUGUGUAGCGGUGAAAUGCGUAGAUAUAUGGAAGAACACCAGUGGCGAAAGCGGCUCUCUGGUCUGUAACUGACGCUGAGGUUCGAAAGCGUGGGUAGCAAACAGGAUUAGAUACCCUGGUAGUCCACGCCGUAAACGAUGAAUGCUAAGUGUUGGAGGGUUUCCGCCCUUCA